rnacentral:rRNA from 1 species
CCUACGGGAGGCAGCAGUGAGGAAUAUUGGUCAAUGGCCGGGAGGCUGAACCAGCCAAGUCGCGUGAGGGAAGACGGCCCUACGGGUUGUAAACCUCUUUUGUCAGGGAGCAAGGUGCAGGUCGGGACCUGCUGUGAGCGUACCUGACGAAAAAGCAUCGGCUAACUCCGUGCCAGCAGCCGCAGUAAUACGGAGGAUGCGAGCGUUAUCCGGAUUUAUUGGGUUUAAAGGGUGCGCAGGCGGAGGCACAAGUCAGCGGUAAAAUCGCGGGGCUCAACCCCGCUCCGCCGUUGAAACUGUGUCCCUGGAGUGCGCGAAGGGUAGGCGGAAUGCGUGGUGUAGCGGUGAAAUGCAUAGAUAUCACGCAGAACUCCGAUUGCGAAGGCAGCAUACCGGCGCCCAACUGACGCUGAAGCACGAAAGCGUGGGUAUCGAACAGGAUUAGAUACCCCUGUAGUC